GGCCAGUUAGCUCAGCUGGUUAGAGCGUGGUGCUGAUAAUGCCAAGGUCGCGGGUUCGACCCCCGUACAGGCCA
rnacentral:tRNA from 1 species